rnacentral:rRNA from 1 species
CGUGGGUAACCUGCCCAAGAGAUCGGGAUAACACCUGGAAACAGAUGCUAAUACCGGAUAAUAACAGAUGAUGCCUAUCAACUGUUUAAAAGAUGGUUCUGCUAUCACUCUUGGAUGGACCUGCGGUGCAUUAGCUAGUUGGUAGGGUAACGGCCUACCAAGGCGAUGAUGCAUAGCCGAGUUGAGAGACUGAUCGGCCACAUUGGGACUGAGACACGGCCCAAACUCCUACGGGAGGCAGCAGAA